rnacentral:tRNA from 1 species
UGCCUCGUUAGCUCAGUUGGUAGAGCAUAUCACUCUUAAUGAUGGGGUCGUAGGUUCGAACCCUACACGGGGCACCAC